rnacentral:rRNA from 1 species
AUUGAACGCUGGCGGCAGGCCUAACACAUGCAAGUCGAACGGUAACAGGAAGCAGCUUGCUGCUUCGCUGACGAGUGGCGGACGGGUGAGUAAUGUCUGGGAAGCUGCCUGAUGGAGGGGGAUAACUACUGGAAACGGUAGCUAAUACCGCAUAAUGUCGCAAGACCAAAGAGGGGGACCUUCGGGCCUCUUGCCAUCGGAUGUGCCCAGAUGGGAUUAGCUUGUUGGUGGGGUAACGGCUCACCAAGGCGACGAUCCCUAGCUGGUCUGAGAGGAUGACCAGCCACACUGGAACUGAGACACGGUCCAGACUCCUACGGGAGGCAGCAGUGGGGAAUAUUGCACAAUGGGCGAAAGCCUGAUGCAGCCAUGCCGCGUGUAUGAAGAAGGCCUUCGGGUUGUAAAGUACUUUCAGCGGGGAGGAAGGGAGUAAAGUUAAUACCUUUGCUCAUUGACGUUACCCGCAGAAGAAGCACCGGCUAACUCCGUG